rnacentral:rRNA from 1 species
GCGAACGAGUUCUCGUUGAUGAUCGGGCUUGCACCGAGAUUCAACAUGGAACGAGUGGCGGACGGGUGAGUAACACGUGGGUAACCUGCCCUUAAGUGGGGGAUAACAUUUGGAAACAGAUGCUAAUACCGCAUAGAUCCAAGAACCGCAUGGUUCUUGGCUGAAAGAUGGCGUAAGCUAUCGCUUUUGGAUGGACCCGCGGCGUAUUAGCUAGUUGGUGAGGUAAUGGCUCACCAAGGCGAUGAUACGUAGCCGAACUGAGAGGUUGAUCGGCCACAUUGGGACUGAGACACGGCCCAAACUCCUACGGGAGGCAGCAGUAGGGAAUCUUCCACAAUGGACGCAAGUCUGAUGGAGCAACGCCGCGUGAGUGAAGAAGGCUUUCGGGUCGUAAAACUCUGUUGUUGGAGAAGAAUGGUCGGCAGAGUAACUGUUGUCGGC